UACGUAGGGGGCUAGCGUUGUCCGGAUUUAUUGGGCGUAAAGAGCGUGUAGGCGGCCAGAUAGGUCUGCUGUGAAAACUCGAGGCUCAACCUCGAGCUGUCGGCGGAAACCAUUUGGCUAGAGUCCGGAAGAGGAGAGUGGAAUUCCUGGUGUAGCGGUGAAAUGCGCAGAUAUCAGGAAGAACACCUAUGGCGAAGGCAGGUCUCUGGGCAUUAACUGACGCUGAGGAGCGAAAGCGUGGGGAGCGAACAGG
rnacentral:rRNA from 1 species